rnacentral:rRNA from 1 species
CCUACGGGGAGCUGCAGUGGGGAAUAUUGGACAAUGGGCGAAAGCCUGAUCCAGCCAUGCCGCGUGUGUGAAGAAGGCCUUCGGGUUGUAAAGCACUUUCAGUGGGGAAGAAAGCCUUGGGGCUAAUACCCUCGAGGAAGGACAUCACCCACAGAAGAAGCACCGGCUAACUCCGUGCCAGCAGCCGCGGUAAUACGGAGGGUGCGAGCGUUAAUCGGAAUUACUGGGCGUAAAGCGCGCGUAGGCGGUCUGAUAAGCCGGUUGUGAAAGCCCCGGGCUCAACCUGGGAACGGCAUCCGGAACUGUCAGGCUAGAGUGCAGGAGAGGAAGGUAGAACUCCCGGUGUAGCGGUGAAAUGCGUAGAGAUCGGGAGGAAUACCAGUGGCGAAGGCGGCCUUCUGGACUGACACUGACGCUGAGGUGCGAAAGCGUGGGUAGCAAACAGGAUUAGAUACCCGUGUAGUC